UCGGGAAUCUUGGACAAUGGGCGCAAGCCUGAUCCAGCCAUGCCGCGUGAGUGACGAAGGUCUUCGGAUUGUAAAGCUCUUUUUGCCAGGGACGAUAAUGACGGUACCUGGAGAAUAAGCCCCGGCUAACUUCGUGCCAGCAGCCGCGGUAAUACGAAGGGGGCUAGCGUUGUUCGGAAUUACUGGGCGUAAAGCGCACGUAGGCGGAUUAGUAAGUCAGGGGUGAAAUCCCGGGGCUCAACCUCGGAACUGCCUUUGAUACUGCUAAUCUCGAGUCCGAUAGAGGUGAGUGGAAUUCCUAGUGUAGAGGUGAAAUUCGUAGAUAUUAGGAAGAACACCAGUGGCGAAGGGGGCUCACUGGAUCGGUACUGACGCUGAGGUGCGAAAGCGUGGGGAGCAAACAGGAUUAGAUACCCACGUAGUCCCUGAGCGGGCUGGCAAGGCGCAU
rnacentral:rRNA from 1 species